rnacentral:rRNA from 1 species
UACGUAGGGACCAAGCGUUGUUCGGAUUUACUGGGCGUAAAGGGCGCGUAGGCGGCAAUUCAAGUCAGUUGUGAAAUCUCCGGGCUUAACUCGGAACGGUCAAGUGAUACUGUUGUGCUAGAGUACAGAAGGGGCAAUCGGAAUUCUUGGUGUAGCGGUGAAAUGCGUAGAUAUCAAGAGGAACACCAGAGGCGAAGGCGGAUUGCUGGGCUGAUACUGACGCUGAGGCGCGAAAGCUAGGGUAGCAAACGGG